UACGUAGGGGGCAAGCGUUGUCCGGAAUCAUUGGGCGUAAAGAGCGCGUAGGCGGCCCUGUAAGUCCGCUGUGAAAGUCAAGGGCUCAACCCUUGGAUGCCGGUGGAUACUGCAGGGCUAGAGUCCGGAAGAGGCGAGUGGAAUUCCUGGUGUAGCGGUGAAAUGCGCAGAUAUCAGGAGGAACACCGAUGGCGAAGGCAGCUCGCUGGGACGGUACUGACGCUGAGGCGCGAAAGCGAGGGGAGCAAACAGG
rnacentral:rRNA from 1 species